CCUUAAAUAAAAAAUGCCUGAAAAUAUGUGCCUCUCCACCUACAAUCCUGGCUGUGCAAGAAACACUUGACUUCCUCGACUCUUCUCUUUCAAGUCCUUCUUUCACCCUAGGUCACUUCUGUCCCCUGCCUCCAUUCUUAGAAAGCGCUGGUCCUCCUGUCUGUCCCCCAGCCGAUGCUCCAUGCACGGCCUGUUGGGGUGUCCCUUCCCUCCUCCGCCCUGCCUGAAGCUCAAGUGUCACCUGUACAGCUGAACCCCAGGUCUGUUUCGGGGCACGGGGAAACAGUCUACAUCCCUCAGGACUUAGGAUGCUCAAAUCUGGUAGGUGUCUCAGAAGAAGGAACCAGAGAAGACUAGAAACAGGAUGGAAUGGGAAGGUGGAGGGAGAGGCGAAGGGGAAGUCGCGAUGCUGACUGCAAGGCCCCCUCGUCCUCAGGCGUCCAGCUUGCAGGGACUGCCCCUGCCUUGGGAGAGUCCUCACAGGCCACACCUGCCACUGGGCCAGGCCACAGCAGACACUCAUGACAGACGAUAAGAAUGACAGCUGCCCGCGCUUGAGCAGGCACUCUAGG
rnacentral:lncRNA from 1 species